rnacentral:rRNA from 1 species
GGUGUGGAUAGGGGAGAAAUUCCAAUCGAACCCGGAGAUAGCUGGUUCUCCUCGAAAUAGCUUUAGGGCUAGCCUCGUAUUAGUUUAGCGGAGGUAGAGCACUGAAUUCCUAAGGGGGCGUCAAAGCUUACCAAGGGAUAUCAAACUCCGAAUGCCGCAUAAAUGAUGUAUGGGAGUCAGACUGCACGAGAUAAGUUGGGUAGUCAAAAGGGAAAGAGCCCAGACCUACAGCUAAGGUCCCAAAGUGUGUGUUAAGUGGAAAAGGAUGUGGGAUUUCAAAGACAACUAGGAUGUUGGCUCAGAAGCAGCCACACAUUCAAAGAGUGCGUAAUAGCUCACUAGUCGAGAGGUCCUGCGCCGAAAAUGUCCGGGGCUGAAACACAACACCGAAGCUUAGGAAUGUAUGUAAGUACAUUGGUAGAGGAGCAUUCUUAAAGGGGUGAAGCAGUACCGAUAAGGAGCUGUGGACUUUUAAGAAGAGAGAAUGCCGGAAUGAGUAGCGAGAUGGAGGUGGGAAUCCUCCAGGCCGAAUAUCCAAGGUUUCCAGAGUAAAGCUGAUCUGCUCUGGGUAAGUCGGGGCCUAAGGCGAGGCUGAGAGGCGUAGUCGAUGGACAACAGGUUGAAAUUCCUGUACCAUGUAUCAUCAGAACUGUGGGGACACAGAAGGACAACACAUCCCGGGAAUGGGAAUACCGGGGCAAGCGUAGGAGGAGUCAGGUUGGCAAACCCGCCUGGCAAUCCAAAGACGUGACGCGCAGCGAACUAAAGUAGCGAAGUGUGUGAUUCCGGCUGUCAAGAAAAGCCGCUAUUGUGUGAUACAUGCCCGUACCGUAAACCGACACAGGUAGAUGAGGAGAGAAUCCUAAGGCCGGCGGGAGAAGCAUUGUUAAGGAACUCGGCAAAAUGACCCCGUAACUUCGGGAGAAGGGGUGCCACAGAGAUGUGGCCGCAGAGAAUAGGCUCAAGCAACUGUUUAGCAAAAACACAGGUCUAUGCAAAACCGUAAGGUGAGGUAUAUGGGCUGACGCCUGCCCGGUGCUGGAAGGUUAAGAGGAGAGGUUAGCGCAAGCGAAGCUUUGAAUUUAAGCCCCAGUAAACGGCGGCCGUAACUAUAACGGUCCUAAGGUAGCGAAAUUCCUUGUCGGGUAAGUUCCGACCCGCACGAAAGGCGUAAUGAUUUGAGCGCUGUCUCAACAAUGCACCCGGUGAAAUUGAAAUACCAGUGAAGAUGCUGGUUACCUGCGCCAGGACGGAAAGACCCCAUGGAGCUUUACUCCAGUUUGAUACUGGGAUUCGGUAUUGCAUGUACAGGAUAGGUGGGAGGCUUUGAAACAUGGACGCCAGUCUGUGUGGAGCCAAUGUUGGGAUACCACCCUUGCGAUAUUGGGUUUCUAACCUGCGCCCGUGACCCGGGCGGGGGACAAUGUCAGGCGGGGAGUUUGACUGGGGCGGUCGCCUCCGAAAGGGUAUCGGAGGCGCUCAAAGGUUCCCUCAGGAUGGUUGGAAACCAUCCAAAGAGUGCAAAGGCAUAAGGGAGCUUGACUGCGACACCGACGGGUGGAGCAGGUACGAAAGUAGGACUUAGUGAUCCGGUGGUAUGAAAGUGGGAUUGCCAUCGCUCAACGGAUAAAAGCUACCCUGGGGAUAACAGGCUUAUCACUCCCAAGAGUUCACAUCGACGGAGUGGUUUGGCACCUCGAUGUCGGCUCAUCGCAUCCUGGGGCUGUAGUAGGUCCCAAGGGUUGGGCUGUUCGCCCAUUAAAGCGGUACGCGAGCUGGGUUCAGAACGUCGUGAGACAGUUCGGUCCCUAUCCGGCGCGGGCGUAGGAUAUCUGAGAGGAGCUGUCCUUAGUACGAGAGGACCGGGAUGGACAGACCGCUGGUGUACCUGUUGGCUUACCAAGGCCAUGGCAGGGUAGCCAAGUCUGGACGGGAUAAACGCUGAAGGCAUCUAAGCGUGAAGCCCCCCUCAAGAUGAGAUAUCCCAUCGCGAAAGCGAGUAAGACCCCUUGAAGACGACGAGGUAGAUAGGUUAGAGGUGGAAGUGCAGUAAUGUACGGAGCUGACUAAUACUAAUCGGUCGAGGGCUUAUCCAG